rnacentral:rRNA from 1 species
AUUGAACGCUGGCGGCAGGCUUAACACAUGCAAGUCGAGCGGAGAUGAGGUGCUUGCACCUUAUCUUAGCGGCGGACGGGUGAGUAAUGCUUAGGAAUCUGCCUAUUAGUGGGGGACAACAUUCCGAAAGGAAUGCUAAUACCGCAUACGUCCUACGGGAGAAAGCAGGGGAUCUUCGGACCUUGCGCUAAUAGAUGAGCCUAAGUCGGAUUAGCUAGUUGGUGGGGUAAAGGCCUACCAAGGCGACGAUCUGUAGCGGGUCUGAGAGGAUGAUCCGCCACACUGGGACUGAGACACGGCCCAGACUCCUACGGGAGGCAGCAGUGGGGAAUAUUGGACAAUGGGGGGAACCCUGAUCCAGCCAUGCCGCGUGUGUGAAGAAGGCCUUAUGGUUGUAAAGCACUUUAAGCGAGGAGGAGGCUACUGAGACUAAUACUCUUGGAUAGUGGACGUUACUCGCAGAAUAAGCACCGGCUAACUCUGUGCCAGCAGCCGCAGUAAAAC